rnacentral:rRNA from 1 species
AUUGAACGCUGGCGGCAGGCUUAACACAUGCAAGUCGAGCGAGGACUUCGGUCCUAGCGGCGGACGGGUGAGUAACGCGUGGGAACGUGCCCUUUGGUUCGGAAUAGCCCUGGGAAACUGGGAGUAAUACCGGAUGAGCUCUUCGGAGGAAAGAUUUAUCGCCAAAGGAUCGGCCCGCGUUGGAUUAGGUAGUUGGUGGGGUAAUGGCCUACCAAGCCGACGAUCCAUAGCUGGUUUGAGAGGAUGAUCAGCCACACUGGGACUGAGACACGGCCCAGACUCCUACGGGAGGCAGCAGUGGGGAAUCUUAGACAAUGGGGGAAACCCUGAUCUAGCCAUGCCGCGUGAUCGAUGAAGGCCUUAGGGUUGUAAAGAUCUUUCAGGCGGGAAGAUAAUGACUGUACCACCAGAAGAAGCCCCGGCUAACUCCGUG